AGGCGCGUAACUCAGCUGGUUAGAGUGUCACCUUGACAUGGUGGAAGUCGGCGGUUCGAAUCCGCCCGUGCCUACCA
rnacentral:tRNA from 1 species